AGAGUUUGAUCAUGGCUCAGAGUGAACGCUGGCGGUAGGCCUAACACAUGCAAGUCGAACGGCAGCACAGUAAGAGCUUGCUCUUAUGGGUGGCGAGUGGCGGACGGGUGAGGAAUACAUCGGAAUCUGCCUUUUCGUGGGGGAUAACGUAGGGAAACUUACGCUAAUUCCGCAUAGGACCUUCGGGUGAAAGCAGGGGGCCUUCGGGCCUUGCGCGGAUAGCAUGAGCCGAUGUCGGAUUAGCUAGUUGAUGGGCUAAACGGUCCUUCUACGGGAAACAGCUAAGCCCAUGAUUGCGGAUUCUCUGGCCCUCGUUUU
rnacentral:rRNA from 1 species